rnacentral:lncRNA from 1 species
UGUAUAUAGUUAUUUUAUAAUAGUAUAUUGUCUAGCGGUUACAUUUAAUUUAAAUUGCCUGCGUUGUUGUCUUGGCAGAGUUACUGUUUUAUCAGUAGUAGCGACACUUUUUAAUUUUUGUGUAAUUAUUGCGUGCAGAUGGAGUUCUUGUUUUGCGCGCGACGAUUUAAAGUUAGUCGUCUGGCGGCGUAUUAAAUCUUGUUAUAUUCCCGCUCUUUUAUAUUUUUGCUGAGCAAGGGUUUAACUCGUGGCAAGGUGUUAAGUUUCGGCGUAAGGAGAAAUAGCGAAGAAGGAGCAUUAAUAAGGAGUGAAUAGUUAGUAUUGUUAUGGCAGUCAUCAUGUAUGUAACUAAGAGGAAUUAUGAAAACUAUGGAACUUGGUUCCAAUACGCGACCGCUGUAUAUGGUGAGCGGGACUUAAGGCGGGGAGUUCAGUUAUUACGGGAACUUCAGGGACCGCUCACUCCGAACGAGGCCUUGGCAUUAGUAAGCGAAUGGAUGAGCAUCUUCGGACCUGCUGGUCCAGAAGUGUCCAAGAUCGCUACCUACUUCUUUCGAUUGGGGUUGGAGUAUCCCGAAGUUGAAUGGCGAUUUAUUGCUCCGCAUUACUUUGAGGUGCAACGAUUGCGUGUAGCACUGAUGGAGUUUAUUUUAAACGGGAUGUGUUCGUAGCAGUUGUCAAAUUUCGCUGACCAACUCCCAUUUUCAAGGCCUCUUCGACAGCUUGACGGGUGGGGAACCAAGUUCCGAGUAAUGCUGGGAAGGGAUCGGUUAGGAUAACGCUGCUAAAAAAAAAGAAUAUAUAGUAAAGAAAUUGAAAAUGGAGAGAAAAAAAAAUUUUCAAUAAAUCGGCAACCAA